UGCCAGCAGCCGCGGUAAUACGGAGGGGGCUAGCGUUGUUCGGAAUUACUGGGCGUAAAGCGCCCGUAGGCGGACUAUUAAGUCAGGGGUGAAAGUCCGAGGCUCAACCUCGGAAUAGCGCUUGAUACUGAACUGCUUGAGACCGGAAGAGGGUAGUGGAAUUCCCAGUGUAGAGGUGAAAUUCGUAGAUAUUGGGAAGAACACCAGUGGCGAAGGCGGCUACCUGGUCCGGAUCUGACGCUGAGGCGCGAAAGCGUGGGGAGCAAACAGGAUUAGAUA
rnacentral:rRNA from 1 species